AGCACCUGAAGUGAAGUAGGACCACCCC
rnacentral:rRNA from 1 species